ensembl:lncRNA
UCAGGGCUGUGGCCACAUGUGCCCUCCACAUUGAGUUAUAGGCAGCACUUUUACCUUUUUUUUGUUUGUUUUUUUGUUUUCUUGAGGUGGGGUCUCGCUGUGCUGCCCAGACUGGCCCUACACUUAUGAUCCCGGGCCUUACGAGUACAGGAACAACCGGUAUCAAAAGCACGCCAGACUGUACCUUCACUUUUAUCCAGUCAAGUUUUACUAAUGCAAAUUUUUCCCAAAAAGAAAAAAAAAAGGACCAUAAUUCAGUUCUGCAUUUGCAAACAUUAGGCAUGAAUGUUAGAAGGUGCUUCUUUCUGCCCUGGCUAUAAAAGCACCUGAACAACUUCUGUACUGCAAGACUGACAAGCUAAACAUUAGCUUCCGUGUUUGUGAAGAUACAGGGCUGGGAGGAAGCACUGCAGUGCUUUUACAAAUGCUUUUCUUAGGGAUAUUUUAGCACUAGGACAAACUAUUUUAACUGUUUUCUACUAAAUGUAGCUAUGUGUUUGGAAAUAACAAUUACUGGGGAAAUACCAGAAACAGUACCAGCAUCUGGUGCUGGUGUUUUGAUUUGUUCUGCCUGUACCAGUGCACAAGCCUCAGCAGGCUGUUUAUACAAGUAACUUAUUUCCAUCAGGGAAAACUGGUGAAAACAUGAUCAACUUAUGCCAUUUGCUUAUGUUAUCACAGUGAAUUUUCUGACUUACUCAGGCUCACAUCCCUAAAAUGAUGUACAUGUUGCUAAUUUUCCAAUAAACUCAUGUUAACUUUAAGGACACAUAAAAUUAAAUCAGACAUCAAUUCUGUAGCACCGUGUAGAAUGCUUGCCGUAAUACUCCCUGAGAAUGAGUCAACAGAUGAGGCAGCAACUGCACUGAGAGUGAUAAAUUUUGGAACCAGUCCACCUAUUCUCAUACCCAAAAGAGGAAAUCCUGGUGGCCCACAACCCUACACCAGUUUACUCGGGCACAGUUACACCCACAAUAACACUUCAGGAGCUCAGAGAGGAACUCUGAAAGAGGUGACAGGAUCAAAACCAGGCCUUCAUAAAAGCAAGCCCAGCAUCUGGGCCACUUGAAAUAUAGAUGGCCAUGGAGCACUUUGACAAUGGUCCUCAGGAAGACAGAGAACAUGAUUCCUUGUCCACUAAAGCAAAGAUCAAGACACAGGCUUAUGGCACAACAAAUGAGGCAUCUGUGUGCAGGUAUAUGUGCAUGGAGAGGAACCAGCAGAACUCCCUAAGAAGCCUUCCUGAGCCUCUGCUCUGUGCUAAAGUUGGCCUUCUCCAAGACUCGGGCAAAGGACUGGCUGCCUUCAAGACAGACGUCAGCAGGAACCUUUGCCUUCCAAACUGACUUCUCCAGGGCCACUUCCUCCUCCUUCAACAGGCACCUUGAAGCUUCCCUGUCCUCUAUGACACAAACACAAGUUCUAGUCACCCACAUGCUCAUCCACACUCUAUCUUCCUAGACCGUGCUUUGCCAAGUGUUUGAUUUUGCUUUCCAAACUAAACUGAUAGAAAGUCACAGUGGCUCCAAUGAGACACAGAAGUGUGGGGGCUACUCAGCCCCUCAGCUAUGGCUUCACACAGACAAGACCAUUCUCAGAGGUAUGGUGUGAGGUCUAAAAAAAACAAUGGCCAGGUGUGGUGGCUCACACCUGUAAUCCCAGCUACUUGAGAGGCAAAGGCAGAAGGAUCUCAAGUUCAAGACCAGCCUCAGCAAAGUUAGGGAGACCCUCAAAAACAACCUACAUACAAGAGGGCUGAGGCAAGUUUCAAUGGUACAGUGCUUGCCUGGCAUGCACGAGGCCCUGUUUCAAUCCCCAGUAUCACAAAAAUAAAUAAAUAAAUUUUAAGAACUAAAACA